UGGGCAUCAUGAAUUUCUCUGUGGAGCAUAUGCAUAUGUUCUGAAGUCUUUUAUUUCUGAUUCUAAAAUGUUGAUUGGAAGUUUUUCAGUGUGCUGGUGUCAAAAGCCUUGAAGUCUAAGGCAUUUUUGUUGCCAGUUCUUUAAAUUUUAUAAAUUGCAGUCAUAAAGACAUCAACUUAGGACUAGUUUGUUGGAAUUUCUAUUCAGAUGAGACAAUCUUUGAAAAAUGAGUGAGAGAGAGAGAGAGAG
rnacentral:misc_RNA from 1 species